AGAGUGUUUAUAGUGCUGUGAGUUUAACACUUCAUGACUGAGAGCAGAACACAACACAAUCUUCAUCAUCACACAAGACUCAACUACUACAAUGAACAACAUCCUCAUCCUCAUCUGGACCGUUGCAGCUUUUAUCCUAGAAUCCAGAGGAGUCACUCUGACUCAACCUAAAGUUAAAACUGUCCAGCUCGGUCAAACAGCUACAAUAGAGUGUAACAUAGAUGUAGGAAUAUACAGCAGCUACUUAGCCUGGUAUCAGCAGAAACCUGGAGAAGCUCCUAAACUCCUCAUUUAUUACAUAAACAACCUCCAGUCAGGAACUCCAUCUAGAUUCAGUGGAAGUGGAUCUGGAAGUGAUUUCUCUCUGACCAUCAGAGGAGUCCAGACUGAAGAUACAGGAGAUUAUUACUGUCAGAGUGUACACUAUAUCAGUGGUAGCUGGGUGUUCACACAGUGAUAAAGAGUCGUACAA